rnacentral:rRNA from 1 species
CAUGCAAGUCGAACGAGGUCCGUCCUUCGGGGCGGGUCUAGUGGCGCACGGGUGAGUAACGCGUGGGAACCUGUCCUGUGGUUCGGGAUACCUCCGGGAAACUGGAGUUAAUACCGGAUGUCUCCUUUGGGAGAAAGAUUUAUCGCCAUAGGGUGGGCCCGCGUCCGAUUAGCUAGUUGGUGGGGUAAAGGCCUACCAAGGCAUCGAUCGGUAGCUGGUCUGAGAGGAUGAUCAGCCACACUGGGACUGAGACACGGCCCAGACUCCUACGGGAGGCAGCAGUGGGGAAUAUUGGACAAUGGGGGCAACCCUGAUCCAGCCAUGCCGCGUGAGUGAUGAAGGCCUUCGGGUUGUAAAGCUCUUUCGGUGGGGACGAUGAUGACGGUACCCACAGAAGAAGCCCCGGCUAACUUCGUGCCAGCAGCCGCGGUAAUACGAAGGGGGCGAGCGUUGUUCGGAAUUACUGGGCGUAAAGGGCGCGUAGGCGGCGCACCAAGUCAGGCGUGAAAGCCCUGGGCUUAACCCAGGAAUUGCGUUUGAGACUGGCGUGCUGGAGUGCAGGAGAGGUCGGCGGAAUUCCCAGUGUAGAGGUGAAAUUCGUAGAGAUUGGGAAGAACACCGGUGGCGUANGCGGCCGACUGGACUGUAACUGACGCUGA